AUGUUGAGUUAAGUGGUGACAUGAGGUGUGGUGUGGUGAGCUGUGGUGUGGUGAUGUAAGGUGAGAUGAGGUGUGGUGUGGUGAGGUGUGGUGUGGUGAGGUGAGUUGGGGUGAGUUGAGGUGUGGUAAGGUGAGAUGUGAUGUGGUGAGAUGUGGUGAGGUGUGGUGAGGUAAGGUGUGAAGUGCUGUGGUGUGGUGUGGGGAGUUGUGGUGAGAUGAGGUGAGAUGAGGUGUGGUGUGGUAAAGGGAGUGGUUGUAAGUUGUGGUGUGGUGAGGUAAGGUGAGGUGAGCUGUGGUGUGGUGAGGUGUGGUGAGGUGCUGUGUGGUGUGGUGAGGUGUGGUAAGGUAAGGUGUGAUGUGGUGAGGUGAGGUGUGAUGUGGUCAGGUGAGAUGAGUUGAGGUGUGGUGUGGUGAGGUGAGGUAUGGUGAGGUGAGAUGAGGUAAAAGGUGUGGUGAGGUGUGUUGAGAUGAGUUGAGGUGUGGUGAGAUGAGUUGAGGUGUGGUGUGGUAAAGUGAGGUGCGGUAAGGUGUGGUGAGGUAAGGUGAGCUGUGGUGCGGUGUGUUGAGGUUAGGUGUGGUGAUGUUUGGUGAGGUGUGGUGUGGUGAGGUGAGG
ensembl:lncRNA